CCUACGAGGUGCUGCAGUGGGGAAUAUUGGGCAAUGGGCGAAAGCCUGACCCAGCAACGCCGCGUGAAGGAAGAAGGCUUUCGGGUUGUAAACUUCUUUUGACAGGGAAGAGCAGAAGACGGUACCUGUCGAAUAAGCCACGGCUAACUACGUGCCAGCAGCCGCGGUAAUACGUAGGGGGCAAGCGUUAUCCGGAUAUACUGGGGGUAAAGGGGGCGGAGACGGCAGCGAAAGCCAGGAGUGAAAGCCAGGGGCACAACCCCGGGACUGCUCUUGGAACUGCGCGGCUGGAGUGCAGGAGGGGCAGGCGGAAUUCCGGGGGUAGCGGUGAAAUGCGUAGAUAUCAGGAGGAACACCGGUGGCGAAGGCGGCCUGCUGGACUGCGACUGACGUUGAGGCCCGAAAGCGUGGGGAGCAAACAGGAUUAGAUACCCUGGUAGUC
rnacentral:rRNA from 1 species